rnacentral:rRNA from 1 species
UACGAAGGGGGCUAGCGUUGUUCGGAUUUACUGGGCGUAAAGCGCCCGUAGGCGGGUUGUUAAGUCAGGGGUGAAAUCCUGGAGCUCAACUCCAGAACUGCCUUUGAUACUGGCAACCUAGAGGCUGGAAGAGGUUAGUGGAAUUCCCAGUGUAGAGGUGAAAUUCGUAGAUAUUGGGAAGAACACCAGUGGCGAAGGCGGCUAACUGGUCCAGAUCUGACGCUGAGGUGCGAAAGCGUGGGGAGCAAACAGG